rnacentral:misc_RNA from 1 species
AUCUCAAAGUAGUUUUCUCCCUGUGAGAAUAUAAAAAUAAAACACUAGUAAGAAUUGCUUUCUUCAUUCUAUAUUACCACGCAUGGACUUCAACAAAAUUAAAAUAAAUGCCAUACUUUCUCCAAUCUGUUAAGUCAUAAAGUAUUUCAUUGCCACAAAAUUAGUCAUAACUCUGCCAAAACACAAGCUAAGAGCAAGUUUUUCUGGCUAAGCAAUAAUAAUAUUCAUUUUCCUAUAUUUCUUUUAGUAAAGUGAUGUGACAGUUUGAUG